GAUGAACGCUAGCUACAGGCUUAACACAUGCAAGUCGAGGGGAAACGGCAUUUAGUGCUUGCACCGAAUGGACGUCGACCGGCGCACGGGUGAGUAACGCGUAUCCAACCUACCCAUUACUGUGGGAUAACCUGCCGAAAGGCAGACUAAUACCGCAUAGUCUUCGAUGACGGCAUCAGAUUUGAAGUAAAGAUUUAUCGGUAAUGGAUGGGGAUGCGUCUGAUUAGCUUGUUGGCGGGGUAACGGCCCACCAAGGCAACGAUCAGUAGGGGUUCUGAGAGGAAGGUCCCCCACAUUGGAACUGAGACACGGUCCAAACUCCUACGGGAGGCAGCAGUGAGGAAUAUUGGUCAAUGGGCGCGAGCCUGAACCAGCCAAGUAGCGUGCAGGAUGACGGCCCUAUGGGUUGUAAACUGCUUUUGUAUGGGGAUAAAGUCAAUCACGUGUGAUUGUUUGCAGGUACCAUACGAAUAAGGACCGGCUAAUUCCGUGCCAGCAGCCGCGGUAAUACGGAAGGUCCGGGCGUUAUCCGGAUUUAUUGGGUUUAAAGGGAGCGUAGGCCGGAGAUUAAGUGUGUUGUGAAAUGUAGACGCUCAACGUCUGACUUGCAGCGCAUACUGGUUUCCUUGAGUACGCACAACGUUGGCGGAAUUCGUCGUGUAGCGGUGAAAUGCUUAGAUAUGACGAAGAACUCCGAUUGCGAAGGCAGCUGACGGGAGCGCAACUGACGCUGAAGCUCGAAGGUGCGGGUAUCGAACAGG
rnacentral:rRNA from 1 species